UACGUAGGGACCGAGCGUUGUCCGGAUUCAUUGGGCGUAAAGAGCUCGUAGGCGGCUGCUCAAGUCGAAUGUGAAACCUCGAGGCUUAACCUCGAGCCUGCAUUCGAUACUGGGCGGCUAGAGUCUGGUAGGGGGAUCUGGAAUUCCUGGUGUAGCGGUGGAAUGCGCAGAUAUCAGGAGGAACACCGGUGGCGAAGGCGGGUCUCUGGGCCGAUACUGACGCUGAGGAGCGAAGGCGUGGGGAGCGAACAGG
rnacentral:rRNA from 1 species